GAAAUGAAGAACAGAUUUUGAAACCGAAAACAAUAGGAGAAAGGCAAGUUUGAGGUGACAGAGGGACAUAUUUCAAACAGUUUGACAACUUAUCUGGAGUUCACUGGUCACCUGUGUCCCAGGAAAGUCAGAAGCCCUCAGCGCAAUGCUGAUCAAGAGUGCCAAGCUUAGCUCAUUGGCUAGGAACGCUCCACUGACAUUCUCAGAGCCAGUGAGCUUGCAGCUCUCAUGGAGGCCAGGACCGGCCCUUAGUGUAACCCAUGU